rnacentral:lncRNA from 1 species
UUGUAUUUUAAUUAGAGUCGGGGUUUCACCAUGUUGCGUAGGCUGCUCUUGAACUCCUGACCUACUUUUGUCGGUUGUUUUCGUAUCAGAUAUACCCAGGGAUAGAGGUAUUACUCUGUUUUCUUCUAACAACAAGAAGUGAAGAUAAUGGGUGCCUAAUAAAUGCAAAUAUAAGGUCAUUUCUGUAGCACAGAAAAAUCUUUUGUGUUUAUCAACAUUCAUGAUUUUUCUUGUUACCUAUGUAUUAUAACUACUUUACUAUAUACACAGAUAUAUUGUCAAUCACAUCUAUAUGAAUUGUGGAUAUGACUUACUUGAUUAUUCUACCUUAAUUUAUAAGGAAUGACUAUCUCAGGAAGCAUGACUAGAAAGCAGAUGUAGUUGAAGUCAAUGUUUUCUCUGACUUCAGUUUGAAAUGGAACAUCAAGAAGUAUGUAUUAAACAUCUGCUAUGUGAUAGGCACUGUACUAAUUGAUAUUUUAUUUCUAUGGAUAGUGGCCUUUCCAGGGGUAUUCCUGUGGGAGGGGAGGGGGAUAAGGAAGGGAAGAGGCUCAAAUGAUUCUACCUGCUGUUCCCAUGGUUAUUGGUCUGGUUAUCCAGCACACUGGUGAAAAGGUGGAGGUCUUGCUCAUAUUUGUGGUACAGUUUUUUUGGCUUUUCUGUCUUGCUUCUCUAGAGUAUCUCUGUUAGGGCACUUGUUAACUAAAUAUUUCACAUCUGGUCUUCUGAACGUCUUCAGUCUUUGGUGUUUACAGUACUUCUUAUGAAGUUAUAAAUUUUACUUUCUUUGCAGGUGUCAUUUAUGCAAUAUGUUUUGGACUCAAUUUUUUUUAAAACUUACAAACUUCCAAUAAUCCAACGAAAGUGCCAGAAUAAGGCCAUUUCUGGUAAAUUGAAGAGCUUCCUGGUAUUUCAAGCAAUCCAGGUAAGAGACACAGAAAACUGUAAAUGAUGCAAAAACAGCUGAACUGAAUAUGAGAGAUGUUCAAGAGUUAUGACCUGAGAAGAUGUCCCCGCCAUCAAUAGACAUUGCAGGAUGUGAUACCACUCUGGAGGACUUUGAAGUUUCUGGAUUUGGUUGAAGAAAGAUGCUUUGGACAUUUUGAAUUUGAGAUGCUUCUCCAGAAGUCUUAUGGAUCUGAAGCAUGGGAGAGGAGUAUAAGCUGGGGAAAUAAGUUUGGGGGUUACCAGAAAACUAGCAGUGGGUAAGGCCAUGAGCAAAUGAAAUCAAAUAGAGGAUGAAGAGAACAGGAGCCCUAGCAAACCUUGACAGUUAAAGAGUAUGCAGGGAAAAGGACUUAGAAAGGACCCUGUAAAGAAAGAUCCAAGAUGACCUGAAGAACUGGUGCCAGGAUCUAUUUUUGUCAUCACCAGCCAGGAAGGAUACAAGGCCUCUUCCAAGAUGAAGACGAAACUAUUGACAGAUAUUUUGUCAAGACCAAAUUUUCCCUAAGGGCCCUGUCAUAGAUUGUUCCCUGGGCAGGAUGCAGCCUCCUUCAGAGAGUGAAGAACACACCAAAAGAUCCUCUACUAAAUUAAUCAUAAGCCACAUGAGGCAGGCUGGAAUACAGUUACCAAUCUGCUUUAAUUCUCCCACUUAGAUGGCCUGAAGCCGCCUGAACUGAAAGUUGGAUGAAGCUCGGCUUUGAGUUUCAUCGCGGGGCAUCGUGUGGCCUAAGUCCUUAGCCAAUGCCUGCCAAAUAUUAGCUUGAGUCGCAAUAAAGAGAAAAGGUCCAAAUUCUC